rnacentral:lncRNA from 1 species
CCUGGUGCUGAUGCUGCAGCCUCAGCAAGUUCUCCUUGGCAGGAAGAAGAGGAGCUGACUGCUGGAGUGGCUUCAGGGGAAGCACAGGAAGGGAGAGUCCACUGAGGAUGGGGCUGAGAGCCUUAGGAAGAAAGCGGUCUGACCGUGGAUGCACUGCUCAGCUGGACCACAUCUCGUUUGAGUUUGUGGGUUCCCUUAGCCUGCUGAACAUCCAUAUCUUCUCUACGGAACAUGUACACAGGGCGUGCAGAGAGUGAAGAAGUGUGCCCUUAGUGGUUCCCGCUUGAUCAGAUUCCCUUUGCUGACAUGUGACCUAAUGACGGCUACUGGUUCCUACUCCUGCUUCAGAAGAAGUUGUUCCAAGGGCACUUCAAGUUCCAGGAUCAGGACCUCAUCCUCGACUACUCCCUGUGUGAGGUGGAUGAAUUCUAA